GUUCUUUUUUACCUUGUUCAAGAAUGGAGAGUGGACCAGUUAAAAUAUAGUAAGGUUGAAGAAGGAAGAGGACAAAAAGAAGAAAAAUUAAGGCUUUUUGCUAUGUGGGUUUCAAGAAUCAGUUAUAUAUACAUGGAGGUUUGCUCAACCACCUCCGAAGCUUUCCCUAUGAAAACAGUACCCCACUGGCAAUAAACAACGGAAGCCCCACCAAAUAAUUCUUGAAUUUUCUUUUGUG
rnacentral:misc_RNA from 1 species